GGCUACUAAGCGCGCGCCAACGUGUGAAC
rnacentral:sRNA from 1 species